UGCCCCAGUAACGGCGAGUGAAGCGGCAACAGCUCAAAUUUGAAAUCUGGCCCCCAGGGUCCGAGUUGUAAUUUGCAGAGGAUGAUUUUGGCGAGGUGCCUUCCGAGUUCUGGAACGGGACGCCACAGAGGGUGAGAGCCCCGUCUGGUUGGACGCCGAGCCUAUGUAAAUCUCCUUCGACGAGUCGAGUAGUUUGGGAAUGCUGCUCUAAAUGGGAGGUAUAUGUCUUCUAAAGCUAAAUAUUGGCCAGAGACCGAUAGCGCACAAGUAGAGUGAUCGAAAGAUGAAAAGCACUUUGAAAAGAGGGUUAAAUAGUACGUGAAAUUGUUGAAAGGGAAGCGCUCAUGACCAGACUUGGGCCCGGUGAAUCAUCCAGCGUUCUCGCUGGUGCACUUUGCCGGGCUCAGGCCAGCAUCAGUUUGCCCCGGGGGAUAAAGGCUUUGGGAAUGUGGCUCCUCCGGGAGUGUUAUAGCCCAUUGCAUAAUAUCCUGGGGCGGACUGAGGUUCGCGCAUCUGCAAGGAUGCUGGCGUAAUGGUCAUCAGCGACCCGUCUUGAAACACGGACCAAGGAGUCGUCUUCGUAUGCGAGUGUUCGGGUGUAAAACCCCUACGCGUAAUGAAAGUGAACGCAGGUGAGAGCUUCGGCGCAUCAUCGACCGAUCCUGAUGUUCUCGGAUGGAUUUGAGUAAGAGCAUACGGGGCCGGACCCGAAAGAAGGUGAACUAUGCCUGUAUAGGGUGAAGCCAGAGGAAACUCUGGUGGAGGCUCGCAGCGGUUCUGACGUGCAAAUCGAUCGUCAAAUAUGGGCAUGGGGGCGAAAGACUAAUCGAACCUUCUAGUAGCUGGUUUCCGCCGAAGUUUCCCUCAGGAUAGCAGUGUUGAUCUCAGUUUUAUGAGGUAAAGCGAAUGAUUAGGGACUCGGGGGCGCUAUAUAGCCUUCAUCCAUUCUCAAACUUUAAAUAUGUAAGAAGCCCUUGUUACUUAGUUGAACGUGGGCAU
rnacentral:rRNA from 1 species